UAAAACGACUAGGUUAAGAACAUAGUUAUUUCACUCUUUAUACUCAGGAUCAAAGUAUGAUGUCAAUGUAAUUGGAACAAAUAUGUUAGUCAUUCACAACCUGAGGCGUUAUAUUCAUGUGACUGAUGGACUAUUUAUUUUGAUCAGAUAAAAAUGGGAUUUAAAGUUUAAUUUUUAAUGUUAUUUAAUGUUAACGUUGCUAUCACUUCCUUUCUUAAAGUAGAAAAUGUUCUAAGAAAAUACUUCUUCAGAUACCGCAAUCGAUACUGUCUCAUUUGUUACAGUAUAAUUGAUAGGUUGUUUUAAUUGUCGGGAUUGUUAUACAAACAUACUCAUGUCUGGUUUAAUUUGGCUCGUGUUCAAUGACUUUUUGUUAGGUUAGAUAAUAAAAAAACAAUAUCAUUACAACCUGUCUUGUAACAAUAUGUUAACAAUAAUUUCACUGAUGAAGGGAAAUUAACUAUAUCUAGUAUUACUCAGUGACGUUUUAAAUAUUGAACUUUACUAAUAUGUGAUAAGAAAAUAUCUAAGACAACACGUUGUUAGUUUGACUGCAACUAAAUGGGAAGGAAAAAACGAAAGCAGAGCUGGCUUGCGACAGAAACAGAUCCGAAAAAGAAAACAGCUGAAGAUACCGAGGGGAGAAUAAAUGGGGCGUCGGGGGGAAACAAAGAGUUGCAUCCUCGUUGGCUACCUUAUGGGAGUCUAGCCCCACGAACAAAAACAAAACGAAAUUGGAAAGCAAAAUGCAUUUCACAAACUGAAGAAAAUCAAUUAUUGAGGGAUGAAAAUAAACAAUUACAAGAAAAGAUAAAAAGUACGAAGAUGAACAAAAACGAUUGCAAGAGGUUUCUGAAGAACAUGCGGCCCGGUUAGUUAACCUUGAUAACUGUGACAACGUACAAAUUGGUAACCAUAAUUCUUUGCAUGUAGUUCAGAAUAACUUUGAUGCAAACUUUCUUAAGAAGCUUUUGGACCGGUAUGAAGAUAUAAUUAAAGAAGACGCAAGGCAGCGGCAAGCGAUGAAAGAGCAAAUACAAGAUCUGUCUUCAAACAUUGAGAAGCUGACGGAUGCUCGUAGCAAAAGCGAACAAAUGCUGGAUUGUUUAGGACACAUUGUUAACCAGACAGAGCUUCAACAAUUAACAGAUCAAGAAGAGGCUUGUCCAGAUAGUUCAAUUGCAAAGAUGUCUCAACAAAUAACAGAUUUAGCAAAGAAUUUUAAUGCUUUUUGUUUAUCACAAAGAGCGCUUUCCAUUGUUUCCUUAGACGAAAGACAAUUCAAAAGCAAUUGGUGCAAAUGCCAAAACAAGAAAAGGAUAAAUUCAGAACUAGAUUUAAACAUGCAUGUUUAAUAUUGUAGUUGAUUAAUUUAUCUUAUAAUAUAAUGCAUAAACUCGUAUUUAUAUUACGUCCUUUUAAGUAUAUAAAAAAUGAAGUGCUGCGCAAGUCCAUACUCCAUAAAUAAUUGGAAUAUUGAUGUGAUAUACAUAUCUGGUAUUUUCACCAAAUCUAUUUUUCACUUUAGUUAAAAUAUAAAAUGAAAUGAAAAUUUGUUUGUUUUAAGCAUAAGAGCAAAAUACCUAUCGCCCUUGAACACCAUAUUUUACAAGUUCAUCGGUGGCUGCGCCGUUCCUGGAUAUAUUGCAUUUGGUGUUCACUUGGUGUAAGAUCUAUUGAUCUUAAACAGAAACAAACAAAAUGUGGUCUAUAUAUUUGCAUGCUAAAAUGUUUAUAUUAUUGUGUAAUUAUCCAACUCUAAUCACUUUCAUUAUAUAAUUAGUUUCAGCAUUUAUUGCAUAUAAACAUUGGUCGUCAUAUGAUAUCUAUUGUGGACAACAAUUUGCUUAGAAACGCCCGAAAAAAAUAUGACCUAUAUGCAAAACCUAGCAUCGUAGAAUAAGUAAUUGUUACCAUAUGGUCCUUUGGACAAUCAUGUUGACUUUUACAGUGUUAUCAAGUCAGAUAUAUACAACAAUUAUUUAAUUGAUCUUAAUUGCUGUAUGUACUUUAACUAAACUUGGCAAGUAUACGAAAGGAAUGUUGUAUCAGCAUAUUCUAUUUUUGAUUGCAGCUCAUACGGGUUUUGAAGAGAGGAAAACCAA
rnacentral:lncRNA from 1 species